ACAGCAGUAGGCCGGCCGGUGGUGCUCGACGCCGUUCUUCCUCAUCUGGAGCGGCAGCGGCAGCACCCCGACGCCCUUCUUCCCCAUCUGCAGUAUCGCCGCCGCAAUAACCACCACCCCUCCGCCGCCGCCACCACUCACCACUCACCACCAUCUCCUCCGUCUCGCCGCCGCCGCCAAAAGGGAAAGAUGGUCCGCGUACGCAUCUUCUGCCAUGACGACCUCCAAGCCCUGCGGAACCGCUCCGAUCAGCACCUGUCUGUAGAGCUCGUCUCUCUGGAUUCCGUGAGCAUAGCGAGCGACUCGUGUAAACUCCUCCUCAACCUGAUUGAGGGGAGGGACUAUCCCAAGAAGGUCAAGCUGACUGAGCGGAGGUACUGGAAAUGCCGCCAGAUGGUUCUCCUCUCGCUGAUAGCAGGCGUGGCGCUGGAGCUCCACAAGAUCAAGCAUGAUCUGUAUCCCCUCCUUUCUCGGGAGGCCAAGCUGGAAGGGGGCUUCGUGGAACACCUCCUACUCCUGAAGAACUCAGCACUUACGCUUGUACGUCUGGCCAAGGACGCUAAGGAAAUAGUCGAAGGACUUGAUCAGGAGGUUGUGAUCGAUGGGCUCUUAGGCAAAGUUAAAAAGUUUGGCAAAGUGGUAGAGGAUACCGCUGAUCUGGUAUUGAAAGGUACUCACAACAUUGCCUGGCUUCAGAAACGUCUCCCGUCGGUUCUUGAUCCGGUCGACCUUCUGUUGUUGACCCCCGUUCAGUUCCCUGAUCCUCAUAAGUAGACUAUCAGCUGUUUCUUGCCAGCUCUGGACUGUUGUGAUGAGUAUUUUUUAGGGGGCCUGGCAAACAGCUUAAAACUGUAGAGCGAACCUCCAACCGGUCCUCCACAUCUAAGCAAGAUGUGUCAUGGAAGAAGAUGAAGUUAUAGAGAAGAUUAGGCCUUGAUGUUCUACAGCAAGGUGGUGUAUUGGAUUCAGUGGUGUGAGAUAUGGUUCUGCUGCUCACCAACCAGUAGAAUUUGUUGUUGAUUUUCCAGGAGACACUGAGAAGGUCGUAGGGGACUGGGUGGCGGUGCUCCAAGCCAGCAGGGGGCUGGGUGGCAGUGUUCCACAUCAGUAGAACACUACUUAAUUUGUCUUUACAAAUUCUCGGAACUUAAGUAUGGGUGACGGCCUGCUUUUCGACAUAGAAGAAUACCAUAAGGAAAUGCUGUGCAUACCUCGACUGCUCUUCCUUUGGGUCGCCUGUUCUCUGUAUGUGUUUGGUCCAACAUAGAACUAAGAGGACAUGUCGGCUUUGUAGUUCUGUAUAGCAACAAUAGAUGGUGCUAUCUAUUUUUCAGGUUUCUAAUCAACUCGGUCUGCCUCAGAAUUAAGCUAAAGCUAAAUUUCUGGACAUAAUGCAUCAGCCAUAGCCCAUAGCAGUGCGUACCACGACUAAGAGCCGUCUACCCAUGCUGGUGGAGGUGGUGGUCUAGCGAAGAAAGCUAGAAACUAAGUUACCCUGCGCCUGCAGAGAUGCUACUCCUUAAGGUCUCUGUUGCCGAAUGUCUCAUUGUUGAUGUAUAUUGAGACCAGCUACCUCUGCCUUUUAGAAUCUGUGUUGGUUACACAAAACUCAUCAGGUUAUUGACGCGUGUUUCCAAACUGAUCGAAACUUAUGUAUUUAGUACUAUUUACAUGUGAUCAAAACUUAUGUAUUGAAUGCGGUGUGAAUUUCUAUAUUGCUUCCCAUGUGUGCUUCA